UACAAGGCAGCCAGUCUGAAGUUCAGCAGCAGAAAUAUGCUGACACAGUUAUUCCUUACAUGAUGUAUUAAUCAUUGCAAUAUCUAAUGAAUAUAAGCAAGGUUCCACUACCCCAAACAUUUUGUCUGGAAAUUUAAGUGGAUGCUCCCCAAGGUCUGCCUUUCCUUUGAAACAAACUUACAGUCCAAACUGGAUCGCCUGUGAAGUGUCACCUCUUGGUGAUUCAGUGCAAUUCUUCAUGGAUGGAAUAUUCAUGUAGAUCAACUUUCUUUGAAGUACAGCAUUUGAGAAGAUGUUUUAAUUCAUCCUUCAUCAUCUCAACAAGAAAAUGGUCAUUGUCCUUGGAGUCUGUUUCUCUGAAAUUGCUGGUUUUGCCU